GACGAUGAGGAUUGUGUGCCCCAUGUGCCAUGAGGACAGCGCCGGCAGCUACUUUUGCAGAAGUGGCUGCAGCGAAGACGCAAGGGAGCUGCGGAGAAGGAGCAGUAGGACAGCAAGCGGCAGUGAACCCCGGGGAAAUGAGGACGACAUCUCCCUCAGUUCAAUGUCAGCCUCCUGGGUCAGCAUCAGCACCUCAAAGAGAAGGGUGAAGCCCACAAGGAGUCUGCCAAGGAGAAGCAGCUGAAGGAAGAAGAAAAAUCCUGGAGAGUGUGGCUGAGGGCCAAUCCUUGGUGUCAGUGAAGGAGAUGGCCAAAGACAUCACGUAUGACGACCCCAUCAGAACCAGUUGGACCCCACCCUGUUAUAUCCCGAGUAUGUCUACAGAGCUUCAUGAGCAUGUAUGGAAGAAAUACCACAUCCUGGUGGAGGGAGAUAGUAUCUCCGCACCCAUCAAGAGCUUCGAGGAAAUGAAGUUUCCUGCCGCCAUCUUGAGAGGUCUGAAGAAGAAGGGCAUCCAUCACCCAACAUCCAUUCAGAUCCAGGGCAUCUCCACCAUUUUGUCCGGCCAUGACAUGAUAGGCACAGGUUCAGGCAAGACGCUGGUGUUCACGCUGCCCGUCAUCAUGUUCUGCCUGGGACAAGAGAAGAGGCUGCCUUUCUUCAAGCGUGAGGGUCCCCAUGGCCUCAUCGUCUGCCCCUCGCGGAAGCUGGCCCGGCAGACCCAUGGCAUCCUGGAGUACUGUUGCUGCCUACUGAGGAGGACCACCUGCCGCUCCUGUGCAUUCUGCGUCGGGGAUUUGUCCGUCAAAGAGCAGAUGGAGACCCUCCAACACGGUGUGCAUAUGAUGGUGGCUACCACUGGGUUCCUCAUGGAUCUACUGCAGAAGAAGAUGGUAAGCCUGGACAUCUGGCGCUACUUGGUCCUGGAUGAGGCUGACCACCUGAUCAACAUGGGCUUCAAGAGCGAUAUCCGCACCGUCUUCUUCUACUUCAAGGGCCAGCAGCAGACCCUGCUCUUUAGUGCCACCACGCCGAAGAAGAUCCAGAACUUUGCCAAUUGCGCCCUUGUGAAGCCUGUCACCAUCAACGUGGGGCGUGUGGGGGCUGCCAGCCUGGAUGUCAUCCAGGAAGUGGAUUAUGUGAAGGAGGGGGCCAAGAUGGUUUACCUGCUUGAGGGCCUGCAGAAAACAUCCCCACCCGUGCUCAUCUUUGCAGAGAAAAAAGUGGAUGUGGACGCCAUCCACGAGAACCUGCUGCUCAAAGGCCGUCGAGGCCAUAGCCAUCCAUGGAGGCAAAGACCAGGAGGAGCAGACCGAGGCCAUCGAGACAUUCUAAGAGGACAAGAAGGAUGUCCUAGUGGAUGCAGAUAUAGCCUCCAAGGGCCUGGACUUCCCUGCUAUCCAGUACAUCAUCAACUAUGACAUACUUGAGGAGAUUGCAAACUAUGUGUACUGCUGAUGGAAGCCAAGCAGAAGGUGCCACCCAUGCUGCAAGUGCUGCACUGCGGGGACGAGUCCAUGCUGGACAUUGGAGGAGAGCAAGGCUAUGCCUUCUGUGGGGGCCUGGGCCAUCGGAUCACCGACUGCCCCAAACUUGAGGCCAUGCAGACCAAGCGGGUCAGCAACAUUGGCUGCAAGGACUACCUGGCCCACAGCUCCAUGGACUUCUGA